GAUGAACGCUGGCGGCGUGCCUAAUACAUGCAAGUCGAGCGAACAGACGAGGAGCUUGCUCCUCUGACGUUAGCGGCGGACGGGUGAGUAACACGUGGAUCACCUACCUAUAAGACUGGGAUAACUUCGGGAAACCGGAGCUAAUACCGGAUAAUAUAUUGAACCGCAUGGUUCAAUAGUGAAAGACGGCUUUGCUGUCACUUAUAGCUGGAUCCGCGCCGCAUUAGCUAGUUGGUAAGGUAACGGCUUACCAAGGCAACGAUGCGUAGCCGACCUGAGAGGGUGAUCGGCCACACUGGAACUGAGACACGGUCCAGACUCCUACGGGAGGCAGCAGUAGGGAAUCUUCCGCAAUGGGCGAAAGCCUGACGGAGCAACGCCGCGUGAGUGAUGAAGGUCUUCGGAUUGUAAAACUCUGUUAUUAGGGAAGAACAAAUGUGGAAGUAACUAUGCACGUCUUGACGGUACCUAAUCAGAAAGCCACGGCUAACUACGUG
rnacentral:rRNA from 1 species